UACGUAGGUGGCAAGCGUUGUCCGGAAUUAUUGGGCGUAAAGCGCGCGCAGGCGGUUCUUUAAGUCUGAUGUGAAAGCCCACGGCUCAACCGUGGAGGGUCAUUGGAAACUGGAGAACUUGAGUACAGAAGAGGAAAGCGGAAUUCCACGAGUAGCGGUGAAAUGCGUAGAGAUGUGGAGGAACACCAGUGGCGAAGGCGGCUUUCUGGUCUGUAACUGACGCUGAGGCGCGAAAGCGUGGGGAGCAAACAGG
rnacentral:rRNA from 1 species